UAGAAGAUAUUAUAUGGAGUAUCGGAAAUUUUGGGUUUCCGGGUCUGAGUUCAAGUCUCAGUCUUCUAG
rnacentral:tRNA from 1 species